UACAAUCAGAACAUGUGAGAACAAGAUUAUUCACAACAACAGAUGAACCAGAAGCAUCAUAUUCUGAACAAUAUUUGCCAAGCAUGUUGGGAGCAUUAAAUAUUCAAGAAGAGACAGAAUUACCAUCUAACCAGGCA